CUCAGCCCCGGCUUGGUGUUGGGCUCUCGGUCUCUGUUCCAGUGAUCGGCCUCAAAGAUAGUGACGGCGUCCCAGAGGGAACCGGUACGAGGAGCUUCUAAUCAAGCAUGUACGCGGGACGACUCUGCGGGCGACGGUCUUUUUACAAAACUUUUAUAAGUGUUGACCUCGGAUCAGGUAGGAAUACCCGCUGAACUUAA
rnacentral:misc_RNA from 1 species